rnacentral:rRNA from 1 species
UACGUAGGGGGCUAGCGUUGUCCGGAAUCAUUGGGCGUAAAGCGCGUGUAGGCGGCCCGGUAAGUCCGCUGUGAAAGUCAAAGGCUCAACCUUUGAAAGCCGGUGGAUACUGUGGGACUAGAGUACGGAAGAGGCGAGUGGAAUUCCUGGUGUAGCGGUGGAAUGCGCAGAUAUCAGGAGGAACACCAAUAGCGAAGGCAGCUCGCUGGGACGUUACUGACACUGAGGCGCGAAAGCGUGGGGAGCGAACAGG